rnacentral:ncRNA from 1 species
GAUAAUAAUAUGGAUGGAGUUCCAUUAACUGCCACGAUGCUGAUGACUCCUGCAGAAUA